rnacentral:rRNA from 1 species
CCGGCGAUUUCCGAAUGGGGAAACCCAGUGUGUUUCGACACACUAUCAUUAACUGAAUCCAUAGGUUAAUGAGGCGAACCGGGGGAACUGAAACAUCUAAGUACCCCGAGGAAAAGAAAUCAACCGAGAUUCCCCCAGUAGCGGCGAGCGAACGGGGAGGAGCCCAGAGCCUGAAUCAGUGUGUGUGUUAGUGGAAGCGUCUGGAAAGGCGCGCGAUACAGGGUGACAGCCCCGUACACAAAAAUGCACAUAUUGUGAGCUCGAUGAGUAGGGCGGGACACGUGGUAUCCUGUCUGAAUAUGGGGGGACCAUCCUCCAAGGCUAAAUACUCCUGACUGACCGAUAGUGAACCAGUACCGUGAGGGAAAGGCGAAAAGAACCCCGGCGAGGGGAGUGAAAAAGAACCUGAAACCGUGUAC